UACAGAGGGGGCAAGCGUUGUUCGGAAUUACUGGGCGUAAAGGGCGCGUAGGCGGCCUGCUAAGUCGAACGUGAAAUCCCCGGGCUCAACCCGGGAACUGCGUCCGAUACUGGCAGGCUUGAAUCCGGGAGAGGGAUGUGGAAUUCCAGGUGUAGCGGUGAAAUGCGUAGAUAUCGGGAGGAACACCAGUGGCGAAGGCGACUACCUGGCCUGUUCUUGACGCUGAGGCGCGAAAGCUAGGGGAGCAAACGGG
rnacentral:rRNA from 1 species